rnacentral:rRNA from 1 species
UACGGAGGUGGCAAGCGUUGCUCGGAAUCACUGGGCGUAAAGGGCGCGUAGGCGGGGAGGUAAGUCGGGUGUGAAAUCCCUCGGCCCAACUGAGGAACUGCGCCCGAGACUGCUUCUCUUGAGUCCCGGAGAGGAAGGUGGAAUUCCCGGUGUAGCGGUGAAAUGUGUAGAGAUCGGGAGGAACACCGGUGGCGAAGGCGGCCUUCUGGACGGUGACUGACGCUGAGGCGCGAAAGCGUGGGGAGCAAACAGG